AUUGAACGCUGGCGGCAUGCUUUACACAUGCAAGUCGAACGGUAACAGGCCUUCGGGUGCUGACGAGUGGCGAACGGGUGAGUAAUGCAUCGGAACGUGCCCAGUCGUGGGGGAUAACGCAGCGAAAGCUGUGCUAAUACCGCAUACGAUCUGUGGAUGAAAGCGGGGGACCUUUGGGCCUCGCGCGAUUGGAGCGGCCGAUGUCAGAUUAGGUAGUUGGUGGGGUAAAGGCUCACCAAGCCAACGAUCUGUAGCUGGUCUGAGAGGACGACCAGCCACACUGGGACUGAGACACGGCCCAGACUCCUACGGGAGGCAGCAGUGGGGAAUUUUGGACAAUGGGGGAAACCCUGAUCCAGCAAUGCCGCGUGCAGGAAGAAGGCCUUCGGAUUGUAAACUGCUUUUGUACGGAGCGAAAAGGCUUCCUCUAAUACAGGGGGCUCAUGACGGUACCGUAAGAAUAAGCACCGGCUAACUACGUGCCAGCCGCCGCUGUAAAAC
rnacentral:rRNA from 1 species